GGCGCGGUGGCUGAGCGGUAAAGCACUUGGCUUCUGACCUGGGGGUCCCAGGUUCGAAUCCUAGUUAAGACU
rnacentral:tRNA from 1 species